CAAUUAUAUGCAUCAUUUUCUUUGCAAUGUUUCUUCUUCUCUUCCUCUUUAACCACAGCUCGAGAAUUAAACACAGACAACUGCAGGUGAAGUAAGAAGUGAUGGCAUAAUCCCAGAUGGGUACAAGCCUCGACCAAAGAAAGGGUAUCCAUACAAACCUUAUCCAAAGAAAGGGUAUCCAUACAAACCUUAUCCACGGAAGAAAAAGCCACCACCCAAGAAGAAGAAGCCACCGACGUAAAAGCCUUGUUAUCAAUACAAGUCCCA